CACAGCCGUCAACAAUUUGCAACAAUUAUAACAUUUGGAUGAGUAGUUCUAGAAUGGGGGAGGGGUGGGUGGUACGGUGGGCGGCUCCUUCUCUGUGUAAUCUGAACCUGACAGCUUCCUGCGCACUUCCAUGGACAAUCUGCUGCGGUUGCAGCCUCAUGCAUUUGAGGAGAGGAGGUCCGGAGGAGGAACUUGUUUCUGCCAACUCACCUCUUCAUUGCCAUCUACCAGUUCCUGCCUUUCAUUAAGCUCUGAUGCACUUGGUUCCUGUUCCUUAUAAAUAAAUAAAAAUGUGUUAACUCAA